GACGAACGCUGGCGGCGUGCUUAACACAUGCAAGUCGAACGGAAAGGCCUCUUUCGGGGGGUACUCGAGUGGCGAACGGGUGAGUAACACGUGAGUAACCUGCCCUUGACUUUGGGAUAACUUCAGGAAACUGGGGCUAAUACCGGAUAGGAGCUCCUGCUGCAUGGUGGGGGUUGGAAAGUUUCGGCGGUUGGGGAUGGACUCGCGGCUUAUCAGCUUGUUGGUGGGGUAGUGGCUUACCAAGGCUUUGACGGGUAGCCGGCCUGAGGGGGUGACCGGCCACAUUGGGACUGAGAUACGGCCCAGACUCCUACGGGAGGCAGCGGUGGGGAAUAUUGCACAAUGGGUGGAAGCCUGAUGCAGCAACGCCGUGUGCGGGAUGACGGCCUUCGGGUUGUAAACCGCUUUCGCUCAUGACGAAGCUUUGUGUGACGGUAGUGGGUAAAGAAGCACCGGCUAACUACGUG
rnacentral:rRNA from 1 species